GGCUAAAAUGGUAAAGCAUCUGCCUGCAAUGUGGGAGACCCAGGUUCGAUUCCUGG
rnacentral:tRNA from 1 species